rnacentral:lncRNA from 1 species
AAAACUACUCAAAAGCUGCCUACUGCAGGUUUGAACUCUUGACCCUUCAUUUAAGGGUGAACCCACCAGACGACCUCUACAAGAUCAUCUUGUGUCAAGUAAGUUCCACUUAUAGCUAUACAUAUUUUACAUAAUUUAACCUAUAUCAAAUAUUAAAAUUUUUUAACGAAGUGAAUUCAUUUAAAUCCUUUUGACCAUUUUCCUACAUCGCCCCCAUUACCAGUAACCCAAAUUAGAUUUGGGCUAAGCAGACAAAUCGGAUCUGAGAUUUUAAGUCAAAAUAAGUUCAC